rnacentral:rRNA from 1 species
GACGAACGCUGGCGGCGUGCCUAAUACAUGCAAGUAGAACGCUAAAGCGAGGAGCUUGCUCUUCUUGGAUGAGUUGCGAACGGGUGAGUAACGCGUAGGUAACCUGCCUUGUAGCGGGGGAUGACUAUUGGAAACGAUAGCUAAUACCGCAUAACAAUGGAUGACACAUGUCAUUUAUUUGAAUGGGGCAAUUGCUCCACUACAAGAUGGACCUGCGUUGUAUUAGCUAGUAGGUGAGGUAAUGGCUCACCUAGGCGACGAUACAUAGCCGACCUGAGAGGGUGAUCGGCCACACUGGGACUGAGACACGGCCCAGACUCCUACGGGAGGCAGCAGUAGGGAAUCUUCGGCAAUGGGGGCAACCCUGACCGAGCAACGCCGCGUGAGUGAAGAAGGGUGUCGGAUCGUAAAGGUCUGUUGUAAGUCAAGAACGGGUGUGAGAGUGGAAAGUUCACACUGUGACGGUAGCUUAACAGAAAGGGACGGCUAACUACGUG